GCCGGGAUAGCUCAGUUGGUAGAGCAGGGGACUGAAAAU
rnacentral:tRNA from 11 species